ACAGAUUGAACGAGUGGAGUCCACCAAAAACUAAAUCCAAUACAGACUGAAGCGGUUCAAGGCGUUUGCGCAAAUGUUGCAUAGCCGCGUUCCCAACUGCCUGGUUAGAGAAUGAGAAAGCAGAGAGCUCACUGAACCUGUUUAUAACCUGUUCUGGAGGCGCGGCCACUUUUACCCUGUGAACCGUGGCAGCAACCCAAGUAUGCAACAUGGGCUAUUACGCACCAGCUGAUGCCAAAUCAGCGCUCCCGGGAGGUUUCACCCGCUGAAAGGGCUGAUCAGCUGUGGCUGUGGUCAUGGAAGUGCUAGCAAAGGGGGCGAGCAGGUCUUUCACAUGCAGAUCUGCUUGGUUCAGACACCUCAAUCUCUCUGCAAAGUGGGGUGCCGUUUUUUAAGUAACAGUCAUAUUAACAGCAAUAUUUUUACACCGCUCUGAUAAAUCAAAAAUAAAAACACCAAAUAGAUGAUGACAUUGGAUCAAAAGUUAAUAAAAUGCUGAUAGAAAGUU